rnacentral:lncRNA from 1 species
GGGGUCAGAAAAGCACUUGUGUUAAGAGGCAACUGUUUAUCAAGGCCCAAAGUUAUCAAAAUUUGAAAUUUGUAAUUUUAUAAUUUUGUAAACUUUUUUAGUUUAAAUUGCAACAAAACACUAUUUCCUUGUUCAAUCUAGAACUCUUAUUAAUAUUAUAUUAUAUAGGAUAAAAUAUGUUUUUAGUACUUACUUUUAUAGAGUUUUGGUUUUUGUCCAUGUAAAAUAAAUCAUUGUUUUCAUCCCUACUAAAUUUUUUAUUUUGUUCUUAGUCUUUAAUGCGCAAAAUUUUGACAUUUGUUUGAACUUAUAUAUGUUUAACAUGAUAUAUAGACAUAAUAUAUACCAAAAUGUCAUAAUAUUUGCAUUAACAUGUCAAAAUAAUCCAUUAUCUAUCCAAUCCAUCUACCAAAAAAUUUAUCCAAUAUAUUAUAUAGAGAUUUGCUUUUUGGGCCCCCUAAAAUGAC